ACGAACGCUGGCGGCGUGCCUAAUACCUGCAAGUAGAACGCUGAAGGAGGAGCUUGCUCUUCUGGAUGAGUUGCGAACGGGUGAGUAACGCGUAGGUAACCUGCCUGGUAGCGGGGGAUAACUAUUGGAAACGAUAGCUAAUACCGCAUAACAGUAGAUGUUGCAUGACAUUUGCUUAAAAGGUGCAAUUGCAUCACUACCAGAUGGACCUGCGUUGUAUUAGCUAGUUGGUGGGGUAACGGCUCACCAAGGCGACGAUACAUAGCCGACCUGAGAGGGUGAUCGGCCAGACUGGGACUGAGACACGGCCCAGACUCCUGCGGGAGGCAGCCGUAGGGAAUCUUCGGCAAGGGACGGAAGUCUGACCGAGCAACGCCGCGUGAGUGAAGAAGGUUUUCGGGUCGUAAAGCUCUGUUGUAAGAGAAGAACGAGUGUGAGAGUGGAAAGUUCACACUGUGACGGUAUCUUACCAGAAAGGGACGGCUAACUACGUG
rnacentral:rRNA from 1 species